GUUCUUGAAAAUUAACGAUGAAUUUUACCAAAAGUAAAACUUUUUACCAAAUCUGGUCACACUGUCAGUCAACGACAAUGUCUUGCCAACCACGUGACAACUGAUCUCGCACUGGAACGAAUGGACUUCACUUAGCAUCUAGACAUCGCGAUAAAAUCAUUAUUUUCCAUACUCAAGCGAAAAUUUUGGUCACUUUGCCAAAAACAGUUAGUUGUAUUAAAAAAAGUAAAAGCGUGUCUGAUUUACUUUGUCUUUGAGCCAUAUAUUUUAUUUGUAAAACAACCUGGUGUUACGCUUUCGAUUUCAAUAUUUGUCAUUAGAGUUGUUUUACAUUAUUCGUUUUGAAGUAUAAACAUUUAUCUUGAAAAGACCAGGUUCUCUUGUUUCCUCAAGAAUUAACAUUUUUAAUGUUAAUUCGCGGGCAAACAAGUUUUUAAUGUUGUGUUUUCACUUGUGCUUAUUCACUUGUGUUAAACACAAUGUUAAUUGUUCUCUUUGUGCCAUGUUCUGUUUUCUUCUAUUGUUAUUUAAAUAAGUACAGUAUGCAGUGGUUGUUCUCUUUUUAUUGUUAUUCAAAUUGUAAAAUUACAAGUUCUUUUCAAUAAAUUGUUUAUUAAUUAUACAAGAGACUCCUUUUUAAUUCAAAAUUCAAUUCCCAUGGGAAUUGAAAAAAAAAAUUAAAAAAAUCCCUCUACCCCGGCUGGCUCCCCAAGUGCUACCUCUACUUCAAGCAGAAGCAAAAGUACUUCUACUUAAAGUAGAGGUAGCACUCGGAGAGCCAGCCGGGGUAGCGGGGCGAAGAAGGGAAGACCAACCUUGCAAAUGCUAAUGCAAAUUGCUAAGUUGAUCUUCUCUUGAGAGCAGCCACGCGCAUACCUGGCGAAUGUAAAACAACAAACAUUAGUAACAAAUACUCGACAUGCAAAUUUUGAAUCCCAUGGCCGAAAUGACAAGUGCCCCCCACUGAUUCCUACCAACUGCCUCAAUCCUAAGCUGUCUGCCUCGUUCCUAAGCUGUCUGCCUCGUUCCUAAGCUGUCUGCCUCGUUCCUAAGCUACCUGCAUUCCAUUCGUAACUUCCGCUUUCCUCACCAUCUCACUGACACUCACAACUGCCCAACCUGCCACCACCCGAACUGCCCACCCUUAAAACUGAAGGAAUUAAAAUUUUGGUAAAAUAUAUUGCAUAAUUAAUUUAAUUAUUCGGAUAUUUUAGGCCAAACGCAAACAAAAAAAUUAAAGGUUGACGAUUAAGAAUGACCGCGUAGACAAACAGGUGAGUUUCUUACUUGCCUCUAACAUGAAAUUUACAUAGAAGGCCAUAGAAAAAUAUACGAAACCUCGAAAUCCGUAUUUUUCCUUCUAUAUGUACUUUACUAUUGUUUUGGUUUAAAUAACGAAACUCGACUAAUU